rnacentral:rRNA from 1 species
AGUGGGGAAUAACCUCGGGAAACCGGGGCUAAUACCGCAUAAUGUCUUCGGACCAAAGGAGCAAUUCGCUGGAAGAGGGGGUCGCGGCCGAUUAGCUAGUUGGCGGGGUAACGGCCCACCAAGGCAAUGAUCGGUAGCCGGCCUGAGAGGGCGCACGGCCACACUGGAACUGAAACACGGUCCAGACUCCUACGGGAGGCAGCAGUGGGGAAUUUUGCGCAAUGGGGGAAACCCUGACGCAGCAACGCCGCGUGGAGGAUGAAGCCCCUUGGGGUGUAAACUCCUUUCGAUCGGGACGAUAAUGACGGUACCGGAUGAAGAAGCACCGGCUAACUCUGUGCCAGCAGCCGCGGUAAUACAGAGGGUGCAAGCGUUGUUCGGAAUUAUUGGGCGUAAAGGGUGCGUAGGCGGUGCGGUAAGUCUGUUGUGAAAUCUCCGGGCUCAACUCGGAGCCUGCAACGGAAACUGCCGUGCUGGAGUAUGGGAGAGGUGAGUGGAAUUCCCGGUGUAGCGGUGAAAUGCCUAGAUAUCG